rnacentral:rRNA from 1 species
GACGAACGCUGGCGGCGUGCUUAACACAUGCAAGUCGAACGAAGUGGCGAACGGGUGAGUAACGCGUAAUCAACCUGCCCUUCAGAGGGGGACAACAGUUGGAAACGACUGCUAAUACCGCAUACUGAAGGAGGGGAUUGCGUCUGCUUAGCUAGUUGGAGGGGUAACGGCCCACCAAGUCGAUGAUCAGUAGGCUGUCUGAGAGGAUGAACGGGCACAUGGGGACUGAGACAAGGCCCAGACUCCUACGGUCGGCAGCAGGGGGGAAUCGUCCGAAAUGGAGGAAAGUCUGACGGAGCAACGCCGGGUUAGUGAGGACGGCCGUCGGGUUGUAAAGCUCUGUUAAUCGGGACGCGGUACCGGAAUAGAAAGCCACGGCUAACUACGUGCCAGCAGCCGCGGUAAUAC